CAAUAAAGAUAGGCGCCCAAGCCAUAUGCCAGGGGUCACACGCCUCCUCUGGGGCCCCGUGCCAAGGGGGAUCUGCUGGGCUGUGAGAUCCAUGGGAGUUCUCCUAGCGGUGUGCCAGGGGGAAUGCUCUUGGGCCUUGAUCUGAGGAGAACCUUGGUCUCUGUGUGAAGGUGCAGAGAGGAAUAUCACCAUAGCCAUCGCGUCAGUCCACACCACUCUACCCUCAUGGACACAGGAUCCACCCCACGGUCCUGUCCAGCCUUCCCAGCCAGAACACGCUUCCCCCUGCCUGCCUUCGCCCUGGGUGGUGGGAGCGGAGAGAAGCCAGGCAGACCUUGGCUGCGUGUUCCUCCUGGAUCCAUUCACGUCCCAAAGCUCUUCAGGAGGAUCAUAACACGGUGUACAUCGAUGUCAUGCCUUCCAUCCCAUGGGAUUCCCAAGACGGGCUGCAAUAGGUUAUAAGUCACGAUGGCGUUGAGCUUUCUCUGUGUACAUCAAUAUAUAGGGUCUGGUGUUUGGCUCCUCAACAAACAGGGCUCUGUGCUCCUGCUUCCAUCA
rnacentral:lncRNA from 1 species